CUUUUAGACUCACUAUGUGGACAAAAGGUUGGAUGGCAACUUGUGGCUUUUCUAUCAGCAACAAAUUGAGGAGGGAGAGCUUGCUGGAGUUUCUAUCAAGUGCUUUGGAAUGCCAUCCUGUUUGAAAAGGCACUUUGGUUGGAGUGACUUUUUGAAGAGGAGGAGCUAGAGUUUUGCAAGUCUUUAACUCUUCGGCAGGAACACCUGGAGUCGCUGCCUUUCAAAUGCUUGCUCAUAAGGUCCCUGGUAAAGGAUCUUGCAAAAUGAAACAAGAAAAGAUCUGAAGCAAUUUCAAGAAGAAUUGAAGAUGGAGAACAUAAAAGAGCUCCAAUAUCCUGUCCUGUUUGUGGACAAAAUGAUGGAGUCUGAAACUCAUUGAGAGACACCCUGUCUUGUCAUGGCCGUGUUGAUCCAUGGUAUACUUCAGACCUUCGGGGCUAAUAGUUUCUUAGCUCUUGCUAUGGGCAUACAAAUUAAAAUUUGCUCGAGUAGGAAAGCAAAGUAUACUUUCAUUUCAUGAUAUAUCAAAUCAAAGUUUAUUUUUGGGGGAAGAAUUGACUAAUGAGAACUGAUUUUGAAAGGUUCUGUGUUGUAAAAUUCAGCCUUUUGUCUGGAAAUAUGACUUGUGCCAGAUAAUAUUAUUUUUGUUUCAGAUUUGGUUGGAUGAAACCACUUUGGAAAGGACCGGAAGCAAGGUCUUGCCAAAAUCACUUUGGAAAUCAUUUUUGAGUGUAAAACGGUAAUUUUGGUAUGCCCUGAAUGUCAGAAGGCUUUUGGAGUUGGAAGUUUUAUGCAUCUUGGUGAUUAUAUUUUAUUUUUUUGCGAACACUCAUAGAAGGAUGUGGUUAUGCAAAUAAUGGGUUGUAUAUGAUUAAGCAGCCAUUGAAAAUAACUUCAAACAUUAGAAUUAUUUUGAAUCAUUUGUAUCAUGGCUUGAGUAGCUUCCCCUCUUAUUCUGACCCUUUUUUCACUUCUGAUAAUAUGUUGAUGCAUUGUCUCUUUUUUCUUCCAGUGACUGAGGUCCUCACUGUUGAGAAGGAUCUUCCUGGGGCUCGACACUCUUUCAGAGAUGUCCUGUGAAUCCUUAUCAUAGAUGCUGAGGGCUAUGCACUUAAGUCAUAUCUAUUGGGAGAGAGGUUGUUUUACUCUUGGUUGGCCGUUGGUUUUUGAUUAGGCAGAAUUAUGUUUAGAGUUGUCAUUUUGCCUAAGACAACAGGGGUUAUUUCCAUAUGGAUGUGAGCCGCUGGGACUCAAGCUGCGGUAUUCUAUAGAAUAUAUGGCACAGAAACAGAAAAGAAGAACUUUUCGGAAGUAAAACGAUGUUAUUCUCAAAUUUUGAUGUGCGUUACAGUGGAAGAAGGUGGACCUAUUUAUACUGUCAAGACUCUGAACGGAAGCAGAAGAGUGAAUGGGGGUUACAGAGGUUACAAGAGUUACAGCAGACUUUUAUUGGAAAUGGAAACAUUAUUCUUGCAACGGACGUAGGUAACGGAGGCGUUGGCGGUGCUCUAUUGUGGCCGCUAAAACGGUAGCUGCUGAAUGGUGCUCCUAUUCUGUUUCAAUAUACGACCAAUGAAUCUGAUUCUCAAUUGUCAAUAGACCUUAUAACAUUUAAUAUUUUAAUUAUAUUAUGGGAGACUUGGGUGUAAUUCUCCCUUUUGAUUAUCUUAAUUUAACAAGUACUUGCACCCAUUGUUUCUUUAAGCAUAAGGAUAAGUUUUGGAUUCAGGAAUACAUGGGAGUAGUUAUCGUAC